AUUAUACUCACUCCGUCCAACAAAAGAUGUCUUAAGUUUGUCAGAAUUUGAUUUAGACAUGACUUAGUAUAUAGACAUAUUCAAAUUUAGUCAAAAUUGAGACAUUCUUUGUUGAACGGAGAGAGUAUAAU
rnacentral:pre_miRNA from 1 species